rnacentral:sRNA from 1 species
GAAAUAACAUAAAAAAAUGUGGUGCACACUGUUGAAUAAACCCGCUACGCGCGUUAUUCAGUAUGCACGAAUUUUUUUAUGUUAUUUC